UACUCUUCUGUGCCUUGUGUGCAGGACAUUUCAAAGGCCACGUGUCCAGGGUGCCGGUGCGGAUCAGAGGUCCCACGCAUAACGGAGAAGACUCUCACGGUAGUUCUGAUGCCGCCUGUCAGACUCUGCAUGCACUGCCUCCAUAACUGGAGCGGGCCUCAGCCCUGCCAGGAACAUUGGCCUGGCUCACAGAAAACCCAUAUACUCCCGGAGGUGAAGGGCUUAUCCAGGAUUCAAAACUUAGAUUUGGAAGGCCAUGUCCUUGUCCCCAGAGUGUUGCCUUCACCCAUCACAUUUGCACAGGGCUUUGGUUCUAAGUGGGCCCAGAGGAAGGAAAUGAACCAGAGUUGAGACCUUGUAAUGCAGUUCCUGGAAAACCUCUGCCCAGGGGCUCUCCUGGUCCCCUCCCAUCGCUUCACCUGGAUGCCCCCUCCACCAACACCCUACAGAUGCCCAGUCUUGGUCCUCUGACAUACUCACUCAGAUUGUCCUCCUUAUGUGGGUGAGCAUCACUGAAGCAGUUGAAGGCCUGAAUAGAAGACUGACUCUGCAGAGUAAGACAGAAUUAUCCAUCAGCCUACUUCAGACCUCACCUGCCUACAUCAGUUCUUCCUGCCUGAUGGCCUUCAAAUCAAAAUACUGGUUCUCUGUGGGUCUCCAGCCUGCCUGCUUGACUCCGUAAUUGUGAGCCAAUUUCUCAUGAUAAAUCAUGAUAUGAGC